rnacentral:lncRNA from 14 species
CGGUUGGCCUGUUUCCCCCAUUUCUCCCCAGUCCUUCCCAUUUCCCCAUUUUUUCCCACUUUUCCCCAUUUCUCCCCAUUUCUUCCAAUUUUCCAGUUUUCCCCCUUUUCCCCCAUUUUUUCCCAUUUCUCCCCAGUCCUUCCCAUUUCUCCCCUUUUCCCCCAUUUCUCCUCCAUUUUUCCCCAGAUUUUCCCCAUUUUCUCCGUUUUUCCUCAUUUUUCUGCAUUUUCCACCAUUUUCCCUCCAUUUUUCCCCAAAUUUCCCCAUUUCUCCCCAUUUCCCAUUUUCCCAUGUUUUUCCCCCUUUUCUCCCUGUUUUUCCCCCUUUUCCCCAAUUCUUCCCCGUUUUCCCCUAUUUCUCCUCCAUUUUUACCCAUUUUCCCCCAUUUCUUCUCCAUUUCUCCCCAUUCCUCCCCCAUUUCCCCCAUUUUUUCCCAAUUUUCCCCAUUUCUCCCCAUUUCUUCCAAUUUUCCAAUUUUUCCCCCUUUUCCCCCAUUUCCCCCCAUUUUUCUCCUUUUCCCUCCCAUUUUCCCCAUUUCUGCUCCAUUUUUCCCCAAAUUUUCCCCAUUUUCUCCGUUUUUCCUCAUUUUUCUGCAUUUUCCACCAUUUUCCCUCCAUUUUUCCCCAAAUUUCCCCAUUUCUCCCCAUUUCUCCCCAUUUCCCGUUUUCCCAUGUUUUUCCCCCUUUUCUCCCUGUUUUCCCCCUUUUCCCCCAUUUCCCCCCAUUUCUCCCCAUUUUCCCAAUUUCUCCCCUUUUCCCCCAUUUUUCCCUGUUUUUCCCCAUUUCUCCCCAUUCCUUCCCAUUUCCCCCAUUUCCCCCCAUUUCUCCUCCAUUUCUCCCCAUUCCUCCCCAUUUCCCCCAUUUUUUCCCAAUUUUCCCCAUUUCUCCCCAUUUCUUCCAAUUUUCCAAUUUUUUCCCAUUUUCCCCCAUUUCUCCCCAUUCCUCCCCAUUUUCCCAAUUUCUCCCCAUUUUCCCCAUUUUUCCCUGUUUUGCCUCAUUUCUCCCCUUUUCCCCCAUUUUUCCCUGUCUUUCCCCAUUUUUCCCCAUUUUCCCCAUUUCUCCCCAUUCCUUCCCAUUUUUCCCCAUUUUCCCCCAUUUCUUCUCAAUUUCUCCCCAUUCCUCCCCCCCAUUUCCCCCAUUUUUUCCCAGUUUUCCCCAUUUCUCCCCAUUUCUUCCAAUUUUCCAUUUUUUCCCCAUUUUCCCCCAUUUCUCCCCAUUCCUCCCCAUUUUCCCCAUUUUUCCCUGUUUUGCCUCAUUACCCCCUUUUUCCCCAUUUUUUCCCAUUUCUCCCCAUUCCUUCCCAUUUCUCCCCAUUCCUUCCCAUUUCUCCCCUUUUCCCCCAUUCCUCCCCUUUUCCCCCAUUUCUCCUCCAUUUUUCCCCAAAUUUUCCCCAUUUUCUCCGUUUUUCCUCAUUUUUCUGCAUUUUCCACCAUUUUCCCUCCAUUUUUCCCCAAAUUUCCCCAUUUCUCCCCAUUUCCAGUUUUCCCACGUUUUUCCCCAUUUUCUCCCUGGUUUUCCCCAUUUCUCCUCCAAUUUUCCCAUUUUCUCCCUGUUUUUCCCCAUUUCCCCCCAUUCCUCCCCAUUUUUCCCCCCAUUUGUCCCCAUUGUUCCCCCAAUUUCUCCCCAUUCCCCCCCCCCACUUUUCCCCAUUUUCUCCCUGGUUUUCCCCAUUUCUCUCAAUUUUCCCAAUUUUCCCCAAUUUCUCCCCAUUCCCCCUCCAUUUUCCCAAUUUUCUCCCUGUUUUUCUUCAUUUUUCUGCAUUUCCACCAUUUCCCCCAUUUUCCCCCAUUUUCCCCCAAAUUUCCCCAUUUCUCCCCAUUUUCCAAUUUUCCCAUGUUUUUCCCCAUUUUCUCCCUGGUUUUCCCCAUUUUCCCCCC